AUGAAACUGUUGAGGAAGUUGUCGUUGGUUGUACGAGCAUCUCAUAUUGUUGUAAAUGGUGGCCACUUCUUUUUUCAUGUAAAGACAAAUCUUCUAUUCUAUGUCAUACGUAUUAGUUCUGAGACAGACUAUCAUUUACUUUAUCAUUUUUUUUGUUCUCCCGUAAUUUUCACUAUUUUCAGUUUUAUUAAUUGUUCAGAUUGGCGUCAGAUCUUCUUCUCUAUUCUUUCUUUUAGUUUCCCUCAGUCUUAUUUAGUAUGUCUUCAGCUUUUCUUUUUUGUAGUUUCUUAUUUUAAUCUUGCAGUCGGUACCUAA
rnacentral:rRNA from 1 species